GGCGAGAUAGCUCAGUUGGUUAGAGCGCUUGAUUCAUAAUCAUGAGGUCGGGGGAUCAUGCCCCCCUCUCGCUACCA
rnacentral:tRNA from 1 species